AGCGAACACUGGCGGCAGGCUUAACACAUGCAAGUCGAGCGGGCGUAGCAAUACGUCAGCGGCAGACGGGUGAGUAACGCGUGGGAACGUACCUUUUGGUUCGGAACAACACAGGGAAACUUGUGCUAAUACCGGAUAAGCCCUUACGGGGAAAGAUUUAUCGCCGAAAGAUCGGCCCGCGUCUGAUUAGCUAGUUGGUAGGGUAAUGGCCUACCAAGGCGACGAUCAGUAGCUGGUCUGAGAGGAUGAUCAGCCACAUUGGGACGGAGACACGGCCCAAACUCCUACGGGAGGCAGCAGUGGGGAAUAUUGGACAAUGGGGGCAACCCUGAUCCAGCCAUGCCGCGUGAGUGAUGAAGGCCCUAGGGUUGUAAAGCUCUUUUGUGCGGGAAGAUAAUGACGGUACCGCAAGAAUAAGCCCCGGCUAACUUCGUGCCAGCCGCCGCAGUAAUAC
rnacentral:rRNA from 1 species